UAUUUCAAUAACUUCUCUGAUGGUAUAAAACAGGUGGGUGUAUCCUUCACUUCAUUCAAAUCAAGAUAAAUUGGCAAUUGAAGAGAUACUGGAGCAUUAAUCAUAAAAUUUUCUCCUUGUGCAUGUGUGUGUGUGUGACAAGUUAAUUAAAGAAAUGAAGCUUUUCUUCUCAUUAAUUGGUAAUAAUCUUUUGUGUUGAAACUCCAGUGAGCUAAUUUUAAUAAUCAAUAUAUUCUAUUAACUUGCUUUGCUUGGAUGAUAAUUUGUUUUAUAAAAGCAGUAAGUUGUUUUAAAGCUUUGCUGGUCAUUAGUUGGUGAUUACCUUUUGUGUCAAAACUCCAAUGUGUUCUAUUAACAAGCUUUGCUUGAUUGAUAAUGUAUUUAUUUAUUUUAUAGUAGUAAUUUAUUGUACUUGAUUUUGGAUUUCUUGCUAAUGCCUAAUUUUUAAAUAUAUAUAUAUAUAUACAUUUCUUGGAUGAAAGCUACCUUGAACUACAAGAGGUGUCUUCUGAAUAGUAUUAUCUCUUCUAUAAAAUUCUCAAUAGUUCACUGACUGAAUUUUCAUUUUUGGCCUGCAUGCGAAGGAUGCAAUUGAUCUCUUACAUG
rnacentral:misc_RNA from 1 species